AUUUUCUCCAGAACAUGGUUAUCUUCUGUUUUACCCCUGACUUCUUGAGGACAUUUAACAUGGGCCAACCCAACAGGCAAUUAUAAGGAAUGAUCUGGUAGUUCCCAAUAACUCCUGACGAAGCGAAGGCGAAACGUGCGUCGAGGUGUGUUCUUGGACCCCUUGCACCAUGCUCCCUCAAACACGUCCACAGGUGUCCUUCCCAGAGAAGACCUUCUAACUAGAACUGCAUGUUUUGACAUAAGCAAUGCUGCAAGCAGUAGCCUGGAAAUCUGGAGAUCUCUGAGUUAAAAUCGGUGAAACUGCUGAGCCUAAAGCUGUGGGUUUGGAAGCUCCUUCAUUCUAAUAACCCCACCAUCACUACCACCAAAGCUAUCUUCUGCUACAACUGAAGGUUCUCUUUAAGUAUUAUACUGCUGAAAUGCAUCAUUAGCUGGUGAAAUGUCAACAAAAGUACCAUUCCCAGUGCAAAACAUAGUGUUAAAGAUGCCGGUAUUCUACUGAAGGAGUCUUUGGGAAAGCAGGUAGAAAUGUAUCACAACUGAGCCCCAUGCUCACAGCAGAGACACCUACAGGAAGCUGUACACAGAUAAACCGCUCGCUGUCCUAUUAUGGGGUAUUUUCCCUUGAAAAUGGAAUAGCUCCAUGAUAAGGAAUUUGAUAGAGCAAGCAGUAUGAAUCCAACAAAAAAAUCACGGCAUACUCCAUCAGAAAUACCUCCGCAUGCUAUCACAAGGUAUUGGAGGAAUAUGGAGGCACAGUUGGGCAGAAAACCCUAAGGGUGCUGCAUUUUGGCUCCAUACAAUUUAGGCUACUUUCACACGUGGGUUCGGUGCGGAUCCGUCUUGUAUCUGCACAGACGGAUCC